UAGAGUUUGAUCCUGGCUCAGCUUGAACGCUGGCGGCAUGCCUUACACAUGCAAGUCGAACGGCAGCACGGGGGCAACCCUGGUGGCGAGUGGCGAACGCGUGAGUAAUACAUCGGAACGUGUCCUGUAGUGGGGGNNNNNNCGGCGAAAGCCGGAUUAAUACCGCAUACGAUCUAUGGAUGAAAGCGGGGGAUCUUCGGACCUCGUGCUAUAGGNNNNNCCGAUGGCGGAUUAGCUAGUUGGUGGGGUAAAGGCUCACCAAGGCGACGAUCCGUAGCUGGUCUGAGAGGACGACCAGCCACACUGGGACUGAGACACGGCCCAGACUCCUACGGGAGGCAGCAGUGGGGAAUUUUGGACAAUGGGGGCAACCCUGAUCCAGCAAUGCCGCGUGUGUGAAGAAGGCCUUCGGGUUGUAAAGCACUUUUGUCCGGAAAGAAAUCCUAAUGGCUAAUAUCCGUUGGGGAUGACGGUACCGGAAGAAUAAGCACCGGCUAACUACGUGCCAGCAGCCGCGGUAAUACGUAGGGUGCGAGCGUUAAUCGGAAUUACUGGGCGUAAAGCGUGCGCAGGCGGUUCGCUAAGACCGAUGUGAAAUCCCCGGGCUUAACCUGGGAACUGCAUUGGUGACUGGCGGGCUAGAGUAUGGCAGAGGGGGGUAGAAUUCCACGUGUAGCAGUGAAAUGCGUAGAGAUGUGGAGGAACAUCAGUGGCGAAGGCGGCCAUCUGGAUCAACACUGACGCUGA
rnacentral:rRNA from 1 species